rnacentral:rRNA from 1 species
UACGGAAGGCAGCAGUGGGGAAUAUUGCAACAAUGGGCGCAAGCCUGAUGCAGCCAUGCCGCGUGUAUGAAAAAGGCCUUCGGGUUGUAAAGUACUUUCAGUCGUGAGGAAGGUGUUAAGGUUAAUAACCUUAGCAAUUGACGUUAGCGACAGAAGAAGCACCGGCUAACUCCGUGCCAGCAGCCGCGGUAAUACGGAGGGUGCGAGCGUUAAUCGGAAUUACUGGGCGUAAAGGGCACGCAGGCGGUUAAUUAAGUUGGAUGUGAAAUCCCCGGGCUUAACCUGGGAAUGGCAUUCAAGACUGGUUAGCUAGAGUCUUGUAGAGGGGGUAGAAUUCCAUGUGUAGCGGUGAAAUGCGUAGAGAUGUGGAGGAAUACCGGUGGCGAAGGCGGCCCCUGGACAAAGACUGACGCUCAUGUGCGAAAGCGUGGGGAGCAAACAGGGAUUAGAUACC